GAUGAAGAACGUAGUGAAAUGCGAUACUUAGUGUGAAUUGCAGAAUCCCGUGAACCAUCGAGUCUUUGAACGCAAGUUGCGCCCGAAGCCAUUUGGUUGAGGGCACGUCUGCCUAGGCGUCACAUAUCGUUGCCCGAUGCCUAUUGCACUGUGAUAGGAAAUUCUAGGGCGAAAGAUGGCUUCCCGUGAGCGUUGUUGCCUCGCGGUUGGUUGAAAAUUGAGUCAUUGGUAGGGUGUGCCAUGAUAGAUGGUGGUCGAGUUUGCACGAGACCGAUCAUGUGUGCGCUCCCCAAAAUAUCGACUCUUUGACCCCACACGCGUCUUUUGACGCUCAUGACGAGACCUCAGGUCAGGCGGGGCUACCCGCUGAGUUUAAGCAUAUCAAUAAGCGGAGGA
rnacentral:misc_RNA from 1 species